rnacentral:lncRNA from 1 species
GCAAACAAACAAUAGGUACAUCUGAAAACAUCAGUAAUGAACUUAAGAACAUAGGUAUAUGAAUUCCCUAAUUCUAUAAAAAGUUAAGACUGUCAAGCAUCAUCUAUUGCAUGUAGAAGAUCCAUGACUAGAUAUUAUCAAUGCUCAACAAAUCUCAGAAUUAAUGCUACACCUUCAGGUUAAUCAAGCUCUUAAGGAACUGAUAAAGGCUUCAAAAUCUAAGCUCAGACCAGAGGAUUGGUCAUACUUGCCAGAGGAAGCAUCCGGUAAGAUCACAGCAACAAGCAUAUUUUUAUGCCAGUGCCAAUCAAUAGCAUCGAGUAUAUAUACCAUCUCAUAUUUGACAUUUUAUAUAACUGGUUUUUCAUUUUUUUAACAGGGUGGCUCGUGUUGGGGAUGCCAAUGUCACCAAGUGUAAAGAGCAAUGAAGGAGCAAGUGGACUGGUAGCUGUGUACCACUUAUUAGGGAAGGUACAACUUAGCUUCCUUUACUUCAUUGGGGUAUUUUUGAUGGGAUUUCAGCACAUGAGAAAUGUUCUCAGAAUUAUGAAGCCUGUCAGAGUUGCAGCCUCCGAUUCGUAAGGUAAAACUGUGAUGAACAAUAUGAACUUCUAUUUCUUUUGCUUCAAUCUGUAUUCAUGAUAUAUCUAAAACUUGAAUUUGAAUCCUCAUUCUCACUUUGGUAAGCAUGUUCUCAAAAUGGGUCAGGUACAAGAAGAUUCUGUUCUUAAUCUACUUCCUUACCUUCACAAGGGUGUUGUCCUUCGGAAUAGCAGUUUUUUUUGCAUCUGCUAUGUAUUCUUUCAAUCAAAAAAGAGCUAUUGUAUGUAUUCUGGAAUAAAUUCCAACAGGUGUCUAUUGCUGUACCAUUUUUAUUCUCUGUAUGUAUACUUUUUCGUUCAUGGAAUGCAAAAUUACAUGCUAUUUGAUGCACUAAGGAUGAAAAGCUAUUUAAAGAUUGACUUGCAUUUGAAAUUGCAAGUUGCUCCUCAUUUUCACAUCGUUCGCAGUUAUCUUGUAGUAACCCAAGCUACAGGAUUUUCCAUCAUCCACAGAUGCUUCCCAUGUAGGCACUCCUUUUUUACUCUUUCAGUAUUAUAAGAACAAAAGUGAUAAAGGAGGUUCGGUGAGCUCUCACUAAAUCUAAAUCAUAUGAUAUUCUAUACAAGGUUCGAAAACAUAAAUUGAAGCCUUCAGAAGGAUAGCACAAUAAAUUUUUGGAUGAAUGUUUAUAUUUCAUAUCUAAAAGCGGAGAUUCCUACUCUGGCUCAGCCACCACCCAGGUAAUCUUUGCAACACGAACAAUUCAGGCAAAUGAACGUAUCUUUUGUAUUCGAGCAGGAUAUCUUAUGGAUAUGAUCCAAGCAAGGAAGUGUCUGAAUGCCAUAGCAUGCAACAAAAGGAUGGCACUUACAGAGUGUCGAAACUAUGCAACAAAAUUUCUGUACACCAUAAUCCAAUAUACCUAAUCCAUUAUACUUCCAAAGGGAGUGCACUGGUGUCCUAAUUUGGGUGUUGUUAUACGUAAUAGCCGAAUCGACUUCCAAAAGGUAUCCUAAUAUUCAAUGUUCACAAAAUCUUCAAAAAUUCCUAUAUUUCUACUGAUACAAUUAACUUUUUUAUAUCCCAUAGGAUGGAGUUGUCCCGAUUUUUCUAUGAAACGAGAUGCGGCGUUUUGUCCCGCUCCAUCCUGACAUUUAGAAUGGAAGAUGUCCUAAAGCGCACCAAACAAAAUGUUGGAAUGAUAACGAAACUCAAUACUCAAAAUGGUACCUCGUCCUGAUGUCCCGUGGGAUGUCCUACUAGGACUUGAGUUCGUGGAUACAAGCAUACCAACAAAUGGGCGACUAUAAGUUACUUUAACCUCGGUGGACGACAAAACAUGGAAUGCAAAAAACUGGAUUCGGUGCAUAAGCCAAGAAAUGGCAAUCGGAUAGGAUAUACCAUUCAAUGAAUUCUUCAUUGUUGUAGCUUCCGAUGCAGUGGCUAUAAUAGAGAAUCAAGACAUUGGUACCUAUAUCAGUUCCCACUUCUUGGAAUUAAAAGUCGAGAAUAUUCAGAAACUAUUCAAUCUUACAGGAGAAGGGACGUUUUAUUUCUCUUAAAAAAAAUGUUAUGGUGCUCAAUAAUGAGAAAAAUUUUCUACAAAUUAGAUAGAGUACUUCUAUUGUCCCACAUAGCUUUUGCUUCGAUAAGGUCCUGUUUGACAUCAUUUUCAGUUUUAAAUUUUUAUUAUUUUUAAAAAAUAUAAAAUCAGAAACAGUGUUUGUAAUCUAAUAUUUAUAUUCAGUACCUUUUUUUCUUAGGACCAAAGAAUUUCAUUUUUAAAGCUUUGAAAACCAAAAUUGCUUGUGACCGCCAUCAUGGCGGUCACCUUCGUUGCCCUCUGCCGCCCCACGCCACCCCUAUUAGGUACUACAUGAGCCACCUCCGGCUGUUAUUGCCACCAUUGUUGUGAAGUGCAAUCCAUGCAGCUACCAAAUAAAUUUUAUUUUUUAAAAAAAAUAAGUUUAAUUUUUUAAAAAAUUAAAAACUGAAAAUUGGAAGUGAUGCUUAGUAAUAUUAUGCAAGAAAUCUACUCCUGCUUGGGCAUUGAGACCCUAAAUCCAAACCUUAUGACUUAGGAGAUAAAAGAGAGGGACAGGCACAUGCUUAACAUCACUCAAAUCACUCUACCGUUCAAAAAACCUGGAAGCAUUUGCUAAUCAAAAAACACAUGCUAGCACGAAAUGAAGAGCAAGACAGCAAAUCGUUGUUCUAAGAUAAUCAAUCACGCUAACCCAAUGAAAUGUUAAAAAAUUUCCAGAAAGAAACUAUAAUGAACUUGUCUGAAAUAUAAAAGAAAAUAAAAUGGGGGAGAAAAGAAAUUAAACUCUUACACAAAUUCUUCUUUAUUUGUGUGAUGAUCAGCCUGUGAAGAGACUCCGGACUUCAGAGAGACUGCAGCAGGAGAAAGCAUAGCCAGGGUGGAGGACAGGACGAGGGAGGAAGAUGUCACGCUUGGUAUCAUAAAACCCGGCAUAGUAGAUUCCCUUGACGGAAGUAUUAUUCCGGACUCUCACGGGACAUUCGUCGAAUAAUUCCCCUGCCCUUUGCGUGCUCGGUUGUUCCACCGUGGGAUUUCUCGUUAUCCUGCGCGUUG